CUCGUGUGAUUAUUAUCGGUUUAGACAGACGCGUGUUUUUAACAGAUGUCGGUGCAAAAUUAAUUGAAUAACACCCGCGAAUUGAGGUUUCAAAGACGAUCAUGGAAUGGGAUGCCAGUUUAUACAGGGAGGAGGUGGUUGGCAGUGCGGAAUCUAAAGAUACUUUGGGACUCAUUGGGAUGAAUUUUAAUCAGGUUAGAGGCACAGUGUCUUCCCCCGGGGUCCUAGUGAGCUCCGCCCCGGUUUGGUGUGUUCCUGGAUCCAGAUGCGUCCCAUGGGCGCUGUAUCGGUGGUUGAGGCUGCGAUGAGCCAAGCUGUUGAGCCGUUUCCGACUGGCGGUUUGGGGAAUCCCUGCGAGUUGCGUGUUGGGCCGUUUCCGACUAGCGGUUUGGGGGAUCCCUGCGGGGUGCGUGUUGGGCCGUUUCCGGCUGGCAGUUUGGGUGUUCCCUGCUAGGUGCGUGUGGGCGAGGAUUCCUCCUCCGGGAAGGCGAUGGCGAUUGUUGCUUUCGCGGAGUUCUGCGCUCAAGCACAGGAGAGGCAUCGCGCUGGCUACGCUCCUGCGACACAGUCUUGUUCGAGUCGUUGGACUGGGCACGAGGAGCCUGUGGCAUGGCUGGCUGUGUGUGGGAUCUGUUUACAUUUCUAGCUGGAGCAUACUGUGUGUUUGUGAAAAAAUUGUUGUGCUUUGUAACACUGCUGCCUUGCAUGAUCGUAUCCCAGUUUGGAAAGGCAUCAGCGACAACGCGACCAUCUUGAAUGAUUUUGGCUGGAUAUAUUAUGCUGGCCUUGCUUUUUGGAUAUUCUUGGCGGAGGCGCUUGAACUGUGGCCAUAAUUGCUUGCGAGCAUCAACAAUCUCGCGUGGAUAAUCUCUAUUUAUGUGAAAAAGUGUUCCGCGGAGCUUGUUAGCAUUCGAGAGGAUGUGCUCAGUAUCACGGAAAUCCAGACAGUAUAUAAUGAUGGGUCGUGUGGAGCCGUGCCGGAAUUUCCCCAGUCUGUGUAUUCGGGGGAUAGGAGGACAGGGGUCGAUCUCAAGCUUCUCUCUCAAGAAAGUUGAUAUUUUAUGGAGACAAUUUUCAUCCCUGUCCUCUGGGAUACCUCUGAUUAGAAGGUUAUUUCGGCGACACCUAGCUUCGAGAUCUAUUGACUUGUACUCUAGUAGCUUAAUUUGCCGAUCAUGGUUAGACAUUGUUGUUUCCAUAGUGUUUACUUUGUUUUGCAAGUUCAGACAACUGUCAACUUUAUGAGAUAUGCCUUUCAUUUCCUGGAAUAGCAUAGACAGCUUAGCAUCAAGUGAGAGACUCUCGUAGUCCGACAAUGUUUGAGACCGUUCGUACUCACUGUUACUGCUGCCCGUGUUACCCGAGGCCGCUUUUUCUCUCUUGUAGCCGUUGACCAAGGUCCGCCAUUUUGACUGAAAGUCUCAUUGCCCAACACAUUAAAAUCGUUUCUGGUGAGAAAUUGUGAUCGAGCGUCCGAGUUUUGAUGUUCCAUGUUUGUGAAAUGCUUGAACUUACACUUGUACACAUUAACAUACCAUUAUUAAAUGUUCAUAACAUUGUUUUCGUAGUUUUUGCUAUUUUUGUACUCUGUUAGAAAAAAAACCGCGGUUAUCCGCGCACUCGA